AGCUUACAUCGCAGUGGACAGAUCAGUGGAUAACCUAGCAAAUCAACAGAAUGACCCAUGCACAAGUGGGAUAAAUAGAAAACAAAUGAUGCAGGUGCUGUUCAAGAAUUUCAUUUAUUUCCAUUGAGAACGGACCUGAGCUGAGAUAUUUGAUAUCUACAGAUGCAAAAACUUGACUGAGACUGAAGAGGACACCUCAGAUUGGAAAUUUGUUAUGCUCUGUGUGUACUGGGAGAAAGCCACAGUUAAGAGACAUCUCAAGAAAGGACUCGACAUCUGAAUCUGUGUGUGGUGACACAUAGCUGUAAUCCAGAAUUUUGGAGUUGGAGACAGGAAGAUGAGAAGAUAAAGCCCUGCUAUUAUUGUUACACCUAAAUGUUCCUGUUUUUCAUGAAGCAGUAAGGGAACUCCAAAAUCUAGGUACCAGCCAGAAUUCUGUUAGGUAGCUGCUGCCUGGACCAACAGCUUCCCUACUCCAAUAUGUAAGGAAACACAUUUGUGCUGCCCCAUCGGCCCUGGGAUCUACGGAGUUCUACUGAAGUGCAAGGCAACCGUGAGUCAGCAAUGUGGACUGCUAAAAUAGUAACUGGCCCGAUGAUGUUGUAAUAUGAAGUAUGAAGUAUGAAAGAGGAAGGAGGAGGAAGAAUAAAACAAGAAAAUCCCCAGGGCAUCCACCCUCACCUCUCACUCAUACUGGAAGAUUUGAUCAAGAAUGUGGAAUACAUAGCUACAUUUAACUUUCAGUUUAAAAAGCCAUGCAAUAUUAUUAAUAACCAGAGGCAUGUUAAUGCUCCUGCCAUUCUCAUAUCCUCCAUGAAGAUGACCUGGGUCUCUCCCCAUUGAGUCCAAUGGCAAAAAUAAUAAAAGUUAGCAAUAUCCAUAAAGACCUCCAUACUUUUGAGAGAACUUUUCAUAUACAUUAAUGUUUUAAAGUUUAUAAUUAUUAGUUUCAGGAAAUUUUGAUAUUACUGUGCCUAAUUGAUUGAUGGAACUAGUUUUUUUUCCCCAAAAUCAAAGUACUUAUUCAUUUAAGUAAUUGAUGGAAUUGGAGUUAAAGCUUUUAUAUCAUCACACUACCACCCCAAUGUAUAUUGUAUUCCUUUGGUUAAAAUAGAAAUCACACACUUAUUUUGCAGACUGCACUUAAUAUUGUUUUGCCUCAAGGCUGUUGUUCAAUAACACAUUUAUUUAUCUGAAUUUCAUGAAAAACAACUAUUCAUUCAUGAGAAUAUAGAUUAACUUCAGUCCAUCUUGUAUACUACAUUACUUCAAGGUACAGAACAACUGUGAUUUUGCCCAGUGUAUUUUCUAAGGGAGAUGUACUAAGUUGUAGUAAUCAAUUGAGAAUGAAGUCCAGGUACCUAUUUUUAAAACUUGGUGCACUGUGAGCCUGUUUCCAUCCAAUGUUUCUUGUGGUUUCAUUAUAUCUAAGCCUCAGAAACCCCAUGAAUUAGACACACGCCUUGAAGAGAUGUGUGUAAUACUAAGUGA